CAGAAAACUGCUUGACAUGGACACAUUUUCCAAAUCAGAUCCAAUCUGUGUGCUGUACACCCAAGGCAUUGGCAACAAAGAGUGGCGAGAGUUUGGGCGGACGGAAGUUAUUGAUAACACUUUGAACCCAGAUUUUGUGCGAAAAUUCAUAUUGGACUACUUCUUUGAAGAAAGACAGAACUUAAAG